rnacentral:tRNA from 1 species
GCUCCCAUAGCUCAACUGGACAGAGCGUUGGUUUCCGGAACCAAAGGUUGGGCGUUCGAGUCGCCCUGGGAGCACCA